ensembl:lncRNA
GUGGUCUAGAUGUCUUGUCAAACUCAUGUUGGUGCAGCGCCCGUGGAGGUUUCACGAUAUCGUGGAGGAGGCACCUGGUCCGAGGAGGUUUGGCACCAGCUCUUUCUCAGAGGUGGGGAGGAGUGUUGCGUUAGUAACACUACCCUUUACCCCGUCUCCCGGUUGGAAAGACCAUACUGUGAUCAAAGGUUCUUUGAAGAUCCGUCUUUAUGGAGGUCCUGGGCUGAUUGGAAACGCCUUUGGGGAGAGAGCUGGAUUGAUUGGACGGUUCCUGUUUCUGUAUAGAUGGAGUGGUACUGGGGGGAGGCACACGGAUGCUCUCUGUCCCCCUCUCUCCCGCUCUCGCUCGCUCCCCAGAGAUCGUCCGCAAAUUAAUACAAAUCGGAGCCCUCUUCUCCGCCCGAGCCUCGCCGCUCACCUUCCCCCCAGGUAGGAAAUACAGAGAGGACGAUGGAGCAGGUGCAGCCAAGUGCAGAGCAAUCGGAAGAGAAAUGAUUGGAAUAUCAGCGAGUGAGUGCUUUUGUGCUUGAGAGACUGCGUGCGUGUGUGUGCGUGUGCGCAAAAGGAGGGAAACGCGUAUGAAAAACUGAUAUCACAAGGACUUGGGGGAUAAAACAUAUGGUGUUUCAGCUCUGCUGCUGAUACCUGUGGGAUUAAAGAUCUCUACUGUAUGCCUUGGUUAAACAUCUGGACAGAUGUUUUGAAAAUGUGCAACUGUCAUUUUGGGCAAAGUCAUUCGCACGCCAGGCUUAACGGAUUUCCAGGAACCUCGUUUAGUCGCACAGCAGAAGAAAGCCCACCGCGUGCUCGUGUGAACCCGCGUGACUUUGAGCGGGUUAUUGUUGCGGCGUCGGGCCACACAAAGCGGGCAGGAACCGCACAGCGGUGGUGGCAGACUGACCCCUUCUGGCGCGGACCGUCCCAGUCUGACGGACUGGUUUGUGCUGCUGGUUCUGUCUCACUGGACAAGAAGACCUUGUUAAAUAAUCACCCUCGUGAAACGUGUCUUUGUGGCGCCGUCUGUCAGUUCUCAGCGGCUCUUUCUGAAGGUUGUCUGUCUGUUAGUCACCAUUUAACUGUGUGG